rnacentral:rRNA from 1 species
UACGGAGGGUGCAAACGUUGCUCGGAAUCAUUGGGCGUAAAGCGCACGUAGGCGGCCUGAUAAGUCGGGUGUGAAAGCCCUGGGCUCAACCCAGGAAGUGCACUCGAAACUGUCAGGCUUGAAUAUGGAAGAGGGUCGCGGAAUUCCUGGUGUAGAGGUGAAAUUCGUAGAUAUCGGGAGGAACACCAGUGGCGAAGGCGGCGACCUGGGCCAAUAUUGACGCUGAGGUGCGAAAGCGUGGGGAGCAAACAGG